rnacentral:lncRNA from 1 species
AAAAGAUUUAGAUGCACUAUUGUAAAGUGGUUGUUCCACUGGAUAUCAUAAGGCAGAGCAGGCAACAGAUGGCACACAAACAGCAGAGUUGGGGACAGAUAUGCAGGGACAGACUGGCAGAGACAGGGAGUCUCAGGGAAAAUAAUAAACACACCCAGGACAACACUUUCCCAUUGUAAGUUGAGGAUCCGAGUGCAGGUGGAAUGAUGACUUUCUGUAGGAACAAAGACUGAAAGGAAACGGAUAAUUAUUUAGUAGCUUUAAUGGUCAAACCACAUUGAACACCAUCAGCCACCACACUAGAACUGUCUGUCACUUCCUGUCACUUCCGGUAUCAAUAAAGCUUAACCCCACACAAUUAAAGCAUUGGCCAAUAGGAAAACAGAUAAUUAGUUACCAGGCAAAGAAAUAGAUAACACAGUUAUUUCCUGUAACACAGAUUUACUAUAUUUCAGCAAUGUGUAUAACUGCCAUAUAAAUUAAAUAAUUACUCAGGAAAUAAUCCUACACCUUGUUUAAUAAAAUGUGAUUUUCA